rnacentral:rRNA from 1 species
GACGAACGCUGGCGGCGUGCCUAAUACAUGCAAGUAGAACGCUGAAGGAGGAGCUUGCUUCUCUGGAUGAGUUGCGAACGGGUGAGUAACGCGUAGGUAACCUGCCUGGUAGCGGGGGAUAACUAUUGGAAACGAUAGCUAAUACCGCAUAAUAGUAGAUGUUGCAUGACAUUUGCUUAAAAGGUGCAAUUGCAUCACUACCAGAUGGACCUGCGUUGUAUUAGCUAGUUGGUGGGGUAACGGCUCACCAAGGCGACGAUACAUAGCCGACCUGAGAGGGGGAUCGGCCACACUGGGACUGAGAACCGGCCCAGACUCCUAAGGGAGGCAGCAGUGGGGAAUCUUCGGCAAUGGGCGGAAGUCUGACCGAGCAACGCCGCGUGAGUGAAGAAGGUUUUCGGAUCGUAAAGCUCUGUUGGAAGGGAAGAAGGGGGGUGAGAGGGGAAAGUUCACACUGGGAGGGUAUUUUACCAGAAGGGGACGGCAAACUAGUU